GUGCCCCGUGUCCCACCUCUCUCGAAGCUUCACCUCACUUCCCGAGCAACAUAUCAUCCACUUUUCCCGUAUGUCACACCUUCCUGCGCACUUCACACCCGCGGCGCCCAACACCUCACGCCCAUGCACCGUGCGAGGAGUCACAACGGGAGCCAGAUGGAUUGCAGUGACAGAUGUUGUGGGCUAAUGGAGACGUCUUGGAGGUGCGGGACCGGGAGUGGAAAUGGCACAGUGACGGCUGCUGACGAUAGAUGGCAAAGACUCUGGCCAAGUCAUGACGUCAGCCAUCACGUCAGUACUUCCGGGACGAGUGACCUACGGGUUUGGGGCGCCAGGAGGCCUUCUUGUGGAUUUGGCUCGGUGGUAAGAUCGUUUUGCUAAAUCUUGCACCGACAAAAACGAACCAGACCUCAGGAUGCCGAGCAACUUUCGCCAAUAAAAGUCUGGAGUCAUUAGUAUUCAUCCCAUUGGUUCAUCCGCAUUUAUAAUUGGAUAAUUGCGCCACUGGCUAUAGUCGGUGUGUGUGUGUGUGUGUGUGUGUGUGUGUGUGUGUGUGUGUGUGUGUGUGUGUGUGUGUGUGUGUGUGUGUGUGUGUGUGUGUGUGUGUGUGUGUGUGUGUGUGUGUGUGUGUAGUUUUUCUCUCUUCCCACCAUUCUGCUUUACGUGCAUUACCAGAAUGGCGAAAAUACAACCAUAAAAUAGAUCAAAACAAACUAAAAACACCAUAGUUAAACAUAGACUAUACUGUUCUCACACCACUACCACCACCACCACCACCACCACCACUACCACCACCGCCGCGCAGCCCCUCCCUACCUAGAUAUGAAUUGCAUGCGGGAAAAAACUCCACACAUUUGCGCCUGGAAUCUUACCAGUGCUAACUCAUACAACUGAACAUUUAUAUCGAGCCACUUAUAUUCCAUUACAAGUUACUACACUGUAUACUAACUCCCCAGCGGCGGGUUCUCAACAUUCUCUCCUAAUAUGGCCGCUGUAACAUUGUCGUGUCUCAGUGCACUAAAUUACCUGCAUGAAACCGCCACCACACACACACACACACACACACACACACACACACACACACACACACACACACACACACACACACACACACACACACACACACACACACACACACACACACACACACACACACCUGGCGAAUUCCUGGUACAGCGUGUAAAAGUUGAACAGCCGCGCUAUGAAUGGUGUUUGGAAUCUCAGGGAAAGUUUAUCAGUUGAACAAUAAUCGU
rnacentral:misc_RNA from 1 species